GCGAGCGGCGGAUGGGUGAGUAACACGUGGGGAACCUGCCCCUAAGUCUGGGAUACCAUUUGGAAACAGGUGCUAAUACCGGAUAAUAAAGCAGAUCGCAUGAUCAGCUUUUGAAAGGCGGCGUAAGCUGUCGCUAAGGGAUGGCCCCGCGGUGCAUUAGCUAGUUGGUAAGGUAACGGCUUACCAAGGCGACGAUGCAUAGCCGAGUUGAGAGACUGAUCGGCCACAUUGGGACUGAGACACGGCCCAAACUCCUACGGGAGGCAGCAGUAGGGAAUCUUCCACAAUGGACGCAAGUCUGAUGGAGCAACGCCGCGUGAGUGAAGAAGGUUUUCGGAUCGUAAAGCUCUGUUGUUGGUGAAGAAGGAUAGAGGUAGUAACUGGCCUUUAUUUGACGGUAAUCAACCAGAAAGUCACGGCUAACUACGUGCCAGCAGCCGCGGUAAUACGUAGGUGGCAAGCGUUGUCCGGAUUUAUUGGGCGUAAAGCGAGCGCAGGCGGAAAAAUAAGUCUAAUGUGAAAGCCCUCGGCUUAACCGAGGAACUGCAUCGGAAACUGUUUUUCUUGAGUGCAGAAGAGGAGAGUGGAACUCCAUGUGUAGCGGUGGAAUGCGUAGAUAUAUGGAAGAACACCAGUGGCGAAGGCGGCUCUCUGGUCUGCAACUGACGCUGAGGCUCGAAAGCAUGGGUAGCGAACAGGAUUAGAUACCCUGGUAGUCCAUGCCGUAAACGAUGAGUGCUAAGUGUUGGGAGGUUUCCGCCUCUCAGUGCUGCAGCUAACGCAUUUAACCACUCCGCCUGGGGA
rnacentral:rRNA from 1 species